CGGUUGAUCCUGCCGGAGGCUACUGCUAUCGGGGUUCGAUUAAGCCAUGCGAGUUAAAUGUUCUUCGUGAACAUAGCGAACUGCUCAGUAACACGUGGAUAACCUACCCUUAGGACCGGAAUAACCCCGGGAAACUGGGGAUAAUACCGGAUAAGCCAUAGACGCUGGAAUGCCCUAUGGUUCAAAGCUCCGGCGCCUAAGGAUGGAUCUGCGGUCUAUCAGGUUGUAGUGGGUGUAACGUACCUACUAGCCGACGACGGAUACGGGUUGUGAGAGCAAGAGCCCGGAGAUGGAUUCUGAGACACGAAUCCAGGCCCUACGGGAUGCAGCAGGCGCGAACACUUUACAAUGCGGGAAACCGCGAUAAGGGAACCCCGAGUGCCAGCAUCAAAUGUUGGCUGUCCAGAUGAUUAAAAAUCAUUUGUUAGCAAGGGCCGGGCAAGACCGGUGCCAGCCGCCGCGGUAACACCGGCGGCCCGAGUGGUAGCCGUUUUUAUUGGGUCUAAAGGGUCCGUAGCCGGCUUGAUAAGUCCUUUGGGAAAUCUGGCAGCUUAACUGUCAGGCUUCUAAGGGAUACUGUCAGGCUUGGGACCGGAAGAGGUAAGGGGUACUCCAGGGGUAGGAGUGAAAUCUUGUAAUCCCUGGGGGACCAUCUGUGGCGAAGGCGCCUUACCAGAACGGGUCCGACGGUGAGGGACGAAAGCUAGGGGAGCAAACCGGAUUAGAUACCCGGGUAGUCCUAGCUGUAAACGAUGCUCGCUAGGUGUC
rnacentral:rRNA from 1 species